GCAGUAGCCGCGGUAAUACGGAGGGAGCUAGCGUUGUUCGGAAUUACUGGGCGUAAAGCGCGCGUAGGCGGUUACUCAAGUCAGAGGUGAAAGCCCGGGGCUCAACCCCGGAACUGCCUUUGAAACUAGGUGGCUAGAAUCUUGGAGAGGUCAGUGGAAUUCCGAGUGUAGAGGUGAAAUUCGUAGAUAUUCGGAAGAACACCAGUGGCGAAGGCGACUGACUGGACAAGUAUUGACGCUGAGGUGCGAAAGCGUGGGGAGCAAACAGGAUUAGAUACCCGCGUAGUCCCUGUCUCUUAUAC
rnacentral:rRNA from 1 species